GAUGAACGCUGGCGGCGUGCCUAAUACAUGCAAGUCGAGCGAACAGACGAGGAGCUUGCUCCUUUGACGUUAGCGGCGGACGGGUGAGUAACACGUGGAUAACCUUCCUCUAAGACUGGGAUAACUUCGGGAAACCGGAGCUAAUACCGGAUAACAUGUUGAACCGCAUGGUUCAACAGUGAAACACGGUCUUGCUGUCACUUAUAGAUGGAUCCGCGCCGCAUUAGCUAGUUGGUAAGGUAACGGCUUACCAAGGCAACGAUGCGUAGCCGACCUGAGAGGGUGAUCGGCCACACUGGAACUGAGACACGGUCCAGACUCCUACGGGAGGCAGCAGUAGGGAAUAUUGCGCAAUGGGCGAAAGCCUGACGGAGCAACGCCGCGUGAGUGAAGAAGGUCUUCGGAUCGUAAAACUCUGUUAUUAGGGAAGAACAAAUGUGUAAGUAACGAUGCACGUCUUGACGGUACCUAAUCAGAAAGCCACGGCUAACUACGUG
rnacentral:rRNA from 1 species